rnacentral:misc_RNA from 1 species
UCUUAAAUAAUUCAAGCAUUAUAAUCAUGGUAUUUAAAUCUAAUUCUAUCAUUUCUGUACGGUGUAACCAAAAACUAAAAAUUUGUCAAUCUCGUUUCAAGGCCUUGGUUAUGAAGGCUCUUGUAAUUGCUAUUGCAAGGUAAGCCAAAAUAGUGAUGGCAAUACCUCCGAACAAAACAAAACGAUCAAAAGUGGCAUCCUGAACUGUAUAUACCCGAAGGCCUAUUGCAUCCCAAUUGCUCUCUGUCCACACAGGGUCCACCAUCCCCAAGGGAUCAGAGGAAUUUGAUGGUAAAACAUUCCAUGAUCCAGAUUCAAACUUCAAUCGGGUUGAAUAUGCAGGCACAUACCUUGUAGUAGAAAAAACACACACUCCCUUCCCAUUUGUUUCUGCCCUAAUGCAGACUUCAUCUUUGUUGCUGCAACCUUUUGAGCAAUCAUUGCUAGUAUUCUCUGUGGGAAUAGAAGUUCUAUCAGCCAAAAAAUUCCAUAUGAACCUGGAAACAUCACUGACAUAUCCAAGAUACGGAGUUGAUGAAGGUUCCCCAAUGACAACACCAACAUAAUGACUUGGGCAAGAAGCAGUAGGUGAUAUAUAGUCCUUAACCAGCUCGCAAGUCAAACCGGGGUCACAGUUCAACAGACAACCCAUCAUUUCUUCAACUAGAGAGGCGUUCACAUUGAUGGCACUUAAAGCUGAACUGCUUAAAUUUUUGCUGCCACUUGCAAGGAUGUAAAGGGUGCGAGCAAUAAGAGAUGCAGCUGCGACUAUAGCUGAAGAGUUUAUGUUUGACAUAUCAUCAAGGUGACUAUGGUAGAACUUGUUGGCAAAAGCAGUAUCAAAAUCUUCCAAUACAAUCCCAGAGGUUGAUGAGUUCUUUCUCAGAAAUGCCAUCAAAGAUGAUGGGGGUAUCCCAGGAUUUGUAGUGCUUGCCCUUGCAAUCGCAACAUUUUUGGAUUCAAGUGAAUCUUCAGCACGUUUGAAGGCAUUCAAUAUCUCAUUUGUGGCUGAAGAAACCCCUGAUGUGUGAGCGAAAAAGGUUUUAUUCCCUCCAAUGAAGCCUUUCCCAACAGAUCCAAUUUCUAUGACCAUCUCAAUUAGUGUGUCAUUAAGGCCAUUAACUGCAUCUGACUGUAAAUCAAGUUCAAGCAAAA